AUCGGCUAGAGGGACGUAGAGGUAAGCGGAACUCUCGGAGUAGCGGUGAAAUGCGUAGAGACCGAGAGGUACCCCGAUGGUGAAGACAGCUUACUGGGCGUCUCCUGACGCUGAAGCGCUAAGGCCAGGGGAGCGAAGGGGAUUAGAUACCCCCGUAGUCCUGGCUUCAAACUAUGUGGGCUUGGUGUCGGCUCCCGAUAGAGAGUCGUUGCCGGAGCUAACGUGUUAAGCCCACCGCCUGGGGAUUACGUCCGCAAGGAUGAAACUCAAGGGAAUUGACGGGGGCCCACACAACCGGUGGAGCACGUGGUUUAAUUCGAUGAUAAGCGAAGAACCUUACCAGGGCUUGACCUAGCGGUGGUAGGAUCCUGAAAAGGAAACGACCUCAAGCUUUGCUUGAGGAGCCGUGGCAGGUAUUGCAUGGCUGUCGUCAGCUCGUGUCGUGGGACGUUGGGUUAAGUCCCGUAACGAGCGCAACCCCUGCCCUUAAUUGCCAGCGGGUAAUGCCGGG
rnacentral:rRNA from 1 species